rnacentral:lncRNA from 1 species
GAAGCUAAAGAUUCAUCUUGGCUUUAACUUUGACAUUUUAUCUCGCAAAACUGGGCUCAAUGCCUUAUCCUCCUACUCAUGUUCCAGAUCAACUAGGUCUUUAGGUUAAGAAAAACAUCUGACUUUUAAGGAGAAAACACAGAGAAAAGGUUCAGGAAGCUUGUCCCAAUGUCUGGGCACAAAGAGAGGAAUGAAGGACUCCAUUUCCUUCUGUCAUCCGUUUAUCUAAAC